rnacentral:tRNA from 1 species
GCGCUCGUAGCUCAGCCGGAUAGAGCGCUGUCCUCCGGAGACAGAAGUCUCAGGUUCAAGUCCUGUCGAGCGCGCCA